GAUGAACGCUAGCGAUAGGCUUAACACAUGCAAGCCGAGGGGCAGCAUGGUCUUAGCUUGCUAAGGCUGAUGGCGACCGGCGCACGGGUGCGUAACGCGUAUGCAACUUGCCUCACAGAGGGGGAUAACCCGUCGAAAGACGGACUAAUACCGCGUACACUCUAUGUUGGGCAUCCAAUGUAGAGGAAAUGAAAUUCGCUGUGAGAUAGGCAUGCGUCCCAUUAGCUAGUUGGUGAGGUAACGGCUCACCAAGGCGACGAUGGGUAGGGGAACUGAGAGGUUGAACCCCCACACUGGUACUGAGACACGGACCAGACUCCUACGGGAGGCAGCAGUGAGGAAUAUUGGUCAAUGGGCGAGAGCCUGAACCAGCCAAGUCGCGUGAAGGAUGACUGUCUUAUGGAUUGUAAACUUCUUUUAUACGGGAAUAACAAGAGUCACGUGUGGCUCCCUGCAUGUACCGUAUGAAUAAGCAUCGGCUAACUCCGUG
rnacentral:rRNA from 1 species